rnacentral:rRNA from 1 species
AUCAGCUCAUAGCGUAUAUUAAGUUGUUGCAGUUAAAAAGCUCGUAGUUGAAUUUCGGGACCAAUUUGUUGGUCGUGCCUCGGUACGUACUGGUAUUAUUGGUUUCUCCCUUCUGAAGAACCUUGAUGUCAUUAAUUUGGUGUCUUGGGGAAUCAGGACUGUUACUUUGAAAAAAUUAAAGUGUUUAA